AUUGAACGCUGGCGGCAUGCUUUACACAUGCAAGUCGAACGGCAGCGCGGGCUUCGGCCUGGCGGCGAGUGGCGAACGGGUGAGUAAUGCAUCGGAACGUGCCCAGUAGUGGGGGAUAGCCCGGCGAAAGCCGGAUUAAUACCGCAUACGACCUGAGGGUGAAAGCGGGGGACCGAAAGGCCCCGCGCUAUUGGAGCGGCCGAUGUCGGAUUAGCUAGUUGGUGGGGUAAAGGCUUACCAAGGCGACGAUCCGUAGCUGGUCUGAGAGGACGACCAGCCACACUGGGACUGAGACACGGCCCAGACUCCUACGGGAGGCAGCAGUGGGGAAUUUUGGACAAUGGGGGCAACCCUGAUCCAGCCAUGCCGCGUGCGGGAAGAAGGCCUUCGGGUUGUAAACCGCUUUUGUUCGGGAAGAAAUCCUCUGGGCUAAUACCCCGGGGGGAUGACGGUACCUGAAGAAUAAGCACCGGCUAACUACGUG
rnacentral:rRNA from 1 species